UACGGAGGGUGCGAGCGUUGUCCGGAAUCACUGGGCGUAAAGGGCGCGUAGGCGGCGCGGGCAGUCAACGGUGAAAGCUUGGGGCUCAACCCCGAGUCGGCCGUCGAUACUCCCGGGCUUGAGCACUGUAGAGGCAGGUGGAAUUCCGGGUGUAGCGGUGGAAUGCGUAGAGAUCCGGAAGAACACCGGUGGCGAAGGCGGCCUGCUGGGCAGUAGCUGACGCUGAGGCGCGACAGCGUGGGGAGCAAACAGG
rnacentral:rRNA from 1 species